CGUGAGUAAUCUAUUCGUAGGCUCGCUGGACGGUGACGAGUAGGAUGAGAUCUAUCAUGUAAUCGAGUUAGUUUUGAUGGGGAUCGAUCCCUAGUAUCCACUAUGUUAUGAGAUUUGAUGUUGCUACUACUUUGCCAUGCUUAAUGCUUGUCACUAGGGCCCGAGUGCCAUGAUUUCAGAUCUGAAAUUAUUAUGUUGUCACCA
rnacentral:lncRNA from 1 species